rnacentral:snoRNA from 1 species
AAGACUAUACUUUCAGGGAUCAUUUCUGUAGUUGGUCACUAGAGGAGAGUGAUCUUACCUGAUCAGCGUCACAAACCACGAGGAGGAGAGAGGUGCUCUCUCCUGAGCGCGAAGCGGGGGAGAGGCGCUGCUUGUGCAGGGGCCUCUCGCCAUUGAUGACCGUUCCC